rnacentral:tRNA from 1 species
GGGGUUGUGGCUCAGUGGUAGAGUACUUGCCUACCAUGUGUGAGGUACUGGGUUCAAUUCUCAGCACCA